AUACGGAGGGUGCAAGCGUUAUUCGGAAUCACUGGGCGUAAAGGACGCGUAGGCGGGUUGGCAAGUCAGAUGUGAAAUCCUACAGCUUAACUGUAGAACUGCAUUUGAAACUGCUAACCUAGAGUAUGGGAGGGGGAGAUGGAAUUAGUGGUGUAGGGGUAAAAUCCGUAGAUAUCACUAGGAAUACCGAAAGCGAAGGCGAUCUCCUGGAACAUAACUGACGCUAAGGCGUGAAAGCGUGGGGAGCGAACAGGAUUAGAAACCCUUGUAGUCC
rnacentral:rRNA from 1 species